rnacentral:ncRNA from 2 species
CGUGCAGCUCCGGGGUGUGCGAAAGCGCUGAGAUGCCAGUCACUGUGAAAACAGUGCAGGCGAACCCGACGAACUUGAUCCGGUUCAUACCGGCGGAAGAAGAGCGGGUCCCUGACGC